GAUGAACGCUGGCGGCGUGCUUAACACAUGCAAGUCGAACGAUGAUGCCCAGCUUGCUGGGUGGAUUGGUGGCGAACGGGUGAGUAACACGUGAGCAACCUGCCCCCGACUCUGGGAUAAGCCCGGGAAACUGGGUCUAAUACCGGAUACGACCUCCGGCCGCAUGGCCUGGUGGUGGAAAGAUUUAUCGGUUGGGGAUGGGCUCGCGGCCUAUCAGCUUGUUGGUGGGGUGAUGGCCCACCAAGGCGACGACGGGUAGCCGGCCUGAGAGGGUGACCGGCCACACUGGGACUGAGACACGGCCCAGACUCCUCCGGGAGGCAGCAGUGGGGAAUAUUGCACAAUGGGCGCAAGCCUGAUGCAGCGACGCCGCGUGAGGGAUGACGGCCUUCGGGUUGUAAACCUCUUUCAGUAGGGAAGAAGCGAAAGUGACGGUACCUGCAGAAGAAGCGCCGGCUAACUACGUGCCAGCAGCCGCAGUAAGAC
rnacentral:rRNA from 1 species